rnacentral:lncRNA from 1 species
AUGUUAGCCAAGUACCAGAAAUUUCAAACUCCAUUUAAGCUAAUUAAGCAGUCAGCAGACCGCCAACAUAUAACUGGUUGGAGAAGGAAGGGCACAGUGCAAAAUGCAACACACCUGGUGCAGAUACCCCGAGCUGAAAGCCGUGGAGAAUUUGGUGCUUCAGAUCCUGCCCCUCUGCUCUCCCACAAGCUGCCAGCAACCAGGGAAGGCUCUGUCCAGGCCUUAGAAAGGAGAAAUCUUGGAAGACGCACUGGUUUUAUAUUGAUUUUACUUCUGAGUAGGGACCUUCAGACUGAAGGUCCUGUUCAUGCUGGAACAGAAAUUCAGCAUCCAGGCGAAAGCAAGAUUUUAAGCACAGCUCCAGGGUUCUCACCCAGUUCUUAGGAAAAUCAGCAUAAAGUUCUCAAAGACCCUCAAGAUCAGGGACUUCAGUUUUUCGGUGCAUCUGCAGGGUGGCUUCCAACACAGCCUGGUGCCCACAGGUGCCAGUUCAAGCGUUGGCCCAACACAAAGGGCAAGGUGCUCACGUCUGAAUCCCUGCUCCUGCCUCCUGAAACAGCCAGGGUUCAUGGCAGCCUGGCCCCACUCUGUGCCAGGCUCUGACCCAAUCUCCACAGGAAAGCAGCAGAAACAAUUGGAUUUUUCCUGUCACCAUCAGUGCAAAGAAAGUGGCGUUUGUGCAAGUCCUGGUGGAUUGAUGAAUGCUGUCUGAAGCGCAGCACGCAGCAGUGCAAUUCGUCAUAACUGAGGUUAAUGAACGAGAAUGUUAAAUAGCCCGUGACUGUACAUCUGACAUAAUUUGCUAAAUUAACUGAAAAUCAACCACCAUUGUACUCCUAGCUUCUCACUUAACUAUCAUUAACCCCAGUCGCCAACUGCGGUGUGGUGACACCAGCAACCUGGAGGAAGAAUCAGGCAGCUCUCAGCAUGGCUCGCGCCUGGCUGCAGCACGGCCUGGCUGCAGGUUUCCCAUCCUGUGGCAGCUGGAAACCUGCUAAAUCAGUGUACAGACUGUGCUGUCAUGCACCUCUGCUUCAGCUCUUGCCUUUGGAACUAGGCUGGCACCACUGCCCAGCAGAGAUCAAUUCAAAAACACGAGGAGUGCAUUUGGUGCUUGACUACAAAGUGACACCUGUGCUGGCGACCAAAUGAAGCUGCAGCUGAUAGGUGGGAAUGGCAGGCAUUUAAGCUUUUAAUAGCUUCAAAUAACUUCCUACUUAAUUCCUAUUUACAGCAUAACCACUGCAGGAAAUCAAGUGAUUUAAGAGCAAAAAUAGAUCCUAAUUUCUACCAGUACCUUCUUGACUUGCUGGAAAGAAAGACGCACGUUAGAGGCUGGUUUCUUUUCCAAAGGCUACUGUUCUUUGAAGGGAUGCCCCAGCUCUUCCUGUUGGGCCCUACCAUAAUUGCCAGUUUUGAGAAGUUUUUCUUCUUCCAGAAGUAAAAUACAACAUUAAAGUUUUCAGGAGCAGUUUCCUCAGUCUGUGGUGACAGUGUGGUCUCUCCUGCCCUUUGGAAGCUUGCCAUCAAUGCUUUAAUCCCUAGCAAGAGUUUUAUCUUAAGCAGAUACCGUAAAGGAUCUGAGAAGUAGGUCAGGAGACAUUAAAAAGUAUUUGAUUCAUCGUGAAGCGUGGGCACAGCGCUGUUUUAAGCCCAAAAUGUCAUGACUCAGCUGCUCCUUUGCAUUUUGUUUUAGAACAGUCAGAUGAAAGGACUGAUGGGUGAGGGAGGGGCGCUGCGAGGGGCCCUGCGAUCCAUCGCCCAUCGCAGUAACUGCUCCCCAGCCACAGCCCCUGCCCGGCAUCGCUCAGCUCUGGAGGUUGGCACUGCCCCUGCUGCCCCGUUACAGAGCCCGUGGCACCAAUUCCCGGUGUGCUGAGAGCUCUGGCUGCCCCUCAGCCGUCUCGCACCCCAGUGCAAGCUUUUUAUGUAUUUUCUUAAGUAUAGGCGGUAUUUUUUUGCUCCUCUCAAAGUGCUUUCCCUUCCUGUGUCUGUCCAGGGUGUAGAGUUUUCAUUUCUUUUAAUGAUUCUCAAGAAAUUAUUGAGAAAUCAAAGUAUCUUUCAGAGUUAUCUUCAAUGCUCAGUGUAGUUCAAAUGGUUUCUAUAAAUCCACAGUGGAAAUGCUAUUUUUCAAAGCUUUACUGUUCCCUAAAUGAUUGUAAUGGUGUGUUGACUGACUUUACUAGGGCCCUGGGAGUUUACAGAAGAAAAAACAGCUUAGUAAGCUGGAGCACUUAAAAUAUGUAUAUGAAAGUUUUCAAAGUUCAUCUAAUCCAUCUCUGUUUUGGAUAUUUAUAAACCAGACUCCGUCAUUAAGGCCAACAGCACUUUUCCACGCCCAGGAACACUGCGGCUAUGGCCCAGCUGGAGCUCUGCCUGCCAUGCCCAAGUGAGCUCUGGGGGUUUCCCUGUGAGCUGAGAGCCCAAGCACAACGCCAGCUGCACACCAUGCUGCCAGGAACAAGUGCUCUGCCAUCCCACACUAGCUGGAUGCUUUCAGGUAACAAGUUAUCUCCCAGCUCAAGGACCUCAAAUCUUGAACUUCUCUGUAGUUUUCCUACAGCAUUGCAUCAUUUUUAUGGUGUUUUGCCCUUUCCCCUUGUGCCCGCUCUUUGCUAGAGAGUCGUUGGGAUGUUUUAUGGCCUGUGCGUGCUGACAAUGAAUGUCCUCCAGUCUCUGGGCUAAGCAUCUGAAACACAUCUGUCCGUGGUGCAGGCUUCUGACUCAGUGUCCUUGCUCUAUGUUGCUGCACCUGGCAUCGCUCAUGGGGCACGUGGAGGGAAGCCGCAUCUUCUCCUGUCGCCACGUGCAGUUUGCAGGGUGAGCAGUGGGGGCUCUGCAGAAGGGGGGGAGCAUGCCCUAACCUGGACCCCGAUGCCCCAUAGGCUUGUGGAGAUGAGAGGUGCAUCCAGUGGGGUGAUGGAGCGCCAGGGUUUCUUUAGGAGUUAAGCAAAGGCACCUAACUUCAUGUGAGAGAUUGACUCGCUGAAACUUGCCAGACUUGAAGAGAAAAAAGUGCUAUCAACCUGUCUUUUGUUACAGCUAUUCUUUUCAUUGAUAAUCCAGUAAAACUGUUCUUUAUGGGAGACAGUGAAAUCCUAAAAGCAGCCUUGAUGGCAGAGGAUAUUACCCAUUAAGGGCAGCAGAUUGUAAUUUGCUAUUCAGAAAGCUGAUUCAAUUGAAAUUCUUUUUAUAUUUCUACAAAGAACUGAAUGCCAGAAGACAGAAAUUCUUUCUUUUGAUAGAAAACAGAAGACAUAAUUGGUGCUUUUAGCACGUCUUCCUCAUACCUUAUACCAGACCCUAUUACAGAUACACUUCUAUAUAAGUCUGAGUCCUCCUUGUGUGAGAUGGCAGCACAGCCAGCCCGGCCCGGCCACGUGUAUUUGCUUUGCACAGGCAAACAGCUGGGUUGCAUUUUGAGCAUUCCCUGUGUCAGGCCCCACAACGGGCAUGGCCGUGGGGCGAGCCCUAGAGCAGGAGCAGGGGGCAGGAAGGCCCCAAGGGGUGCCCGUGCUGGAGGGGCACUGAGCAGCGAGCAGGGGCAGGCAGCCCGCAGGGAGGUGAUCCUCCGAUUCUCUAAACACUGCUGGGGAUGGGGCAGAGAGGGAGUGCAGAGUGGAGAGCAAGCGAGUGUUCAUCACGUGCGCCAUGGUCCCAUGGCCCCUUAUUGCUGAUUCCCCUUGAAGUCAAUGCACCUGGCAAAUAAAAAGCUGCAGGGUUUAUUCCUCUUUUGGUAC